GGGGGUGGGGCGGCAGCGCGGGAGCCAUUUUCUGCAGUACGCGGGGAAGUAGAAAGCUGAGUGCUCUACGGUGUCGAGUGCUGUGUUCAGUUUGGGGCAAGAAAGACGUGGAGGCUCUGGGUUCCAUGCAACAUCUUCCUCAUGCAUGAGGUCUGUGUCCCCAGAAGAUGAUUAUGGAUUAGCUGUGGAGAAAGUGUGUGGAGGCAUCUCCCACUGUCUGUUGGGCAGCAUCUUCUGUGUGCUCAGUGUACGCUGUCCUGCUGCAGCAGUGCCCAGGGAUUUUCUGGGAUGUCAGGUUCUCCACCCUGCCCUUGGCAAGUACACUGGGACCAAUUGGCAGUGCCUCUCCCUUGGUUCCUAUGCACCCACAGCUGCAAGGGGGGAAUGUCUGGACCAUGCAAAAUGGCUACCCAGGCCAUGCAAGGCUUUGUGAGGGGAAGACAGUGAAAACUGAUGACUGAGCAAUUUGCAAUACUGUCGUCAUCAUUGGCUGCUGCACUGGGAAAGCCUCCUGGGGAAGAUGUUGUCUCUUGGCAAUGGGAUGUUGCACAGGGCUUUGUCUCUCCAUCUCCCACAUACUGUUUGCUUCUUCCCUUUGGUAGCAGGUCAUCAUCUGCCACCAGCAGUGAGUCCUGCAAACACAGCUCUGUGUGAAAAGUCCUAUUCCAGCAUGAGUGGAGGAAGAGCCUUCUCAUCAGCCAAUCUCAUAGCUCCUCAAACUUGUGUGGAUGGCCAUCUCCUGUGCCAGGUGUUGGAAGAGGUUGAGUGGUCUGGCUCUUCGGGAGGUCAGGGACCAUGCAGUUUCCUUGGGCAUUGUGUCACGGCCUAAGAGGAAGCAGUUGAGGCAUUUAUUCUCCAGGCAGCAGCAGAGGUACCGCAGGAGAUUAUCCGGUUUCAGGGGUAGCUCCUUCUUGCUCCAGGGUAAGGAAGGUCAUCAGGUGGCGAAUCACAACCAUCUUCAAGGCUUGUGGGAAAAGCCUUUGUUCACCAGUAGAUGAGUGCAGGUCUACGGACAUUUGAGAUGGAAGCUAUGGUGCUGGGCAUGCCUGGCUUUGUGUCCAACAAACUGCAUCUCUGCUGCAGCAAAGCUUUCUGGCCACACUGUGCUGCUGGUGAAUCUGACUGUGACCUGAUCUGUGCUCAAGCAAUGUGUGUGAGUCACUCAGCCACACCACAGGCAUUAUCUCAGUGGCUAGUGCACUCAAGGAGGCACAGGUCAUCCUGAUAUUGUAGGAGGGACGAGAGGGCAGCACAGGCAGCAGUGGUGUGACUGAGGCAGAACCUCACAGGCUUCUUUCACCAAGGUUUGGAACCAACAGAUGGUUUCCUCCGUGUUCAGGUAGGAGCUCUUGCAGAAGGUGUCAGGGAGGCUGGGCUCAUGUUUUCCUCCCAGAUUGUCUUGUGUGUGGUGGAGAAGGCACAGCAUGUCCCCAGCAGCCUCUCCCUCUCACAGGUUCACUCCAGCGCCAUGCAUAAGCAGGACUUAACUUGCCAGCGUGUUCAACAUGUCCCCCAGCUCCUGGUGAAAGGUGUGCCUGCAGAGGGGCCUUGGGCAUGAGCACGCAGUAGAGGAUAUUGUCUUCUCGGGCAGUCGGUCCUUCUUGGACACAAGCCACUCUGACACCCAACUGCAUCCAUGCAUGAAGGUGUUUCUUGGCAAGUCCCAAGAAAAUCAACCGCUAGCUCCUCCAUAACCUCACACUUGUCACCCAUGUAUGGCCAUGGGCACUGGAGGUGAUCAACAGAAAUCAUGUGCAGAUCCUAUGUGUUGAGUCACUUGUCUUCUACCUUGGCAUCAUCCUUGUCCUACUCCUUACUUGUGGAGCUGCCCUGCUUACUGCUGCUCUCUGGCUUACAGCUCCUUUUCCUAGUCCACUAGCAGAGCCCAAAGAGCACUACAAGGAGGCCAGCGAAGGCCCAGAACUGCUACUGUUAGAGGGCAGCGAGGAGUAGAGCACACUCUAGCUGCCAAACUUUGCUCCUGACUCAUUUGUUCUAUCUCAUGCAGCACCUGAGCCAUGUCCUGUCUCAGCUGCUCUGCACACUGCUGCAUGCGCUUGUGUGUGUGUGUCCACAUGGCCAGCCCUCAGCUCUGGCUUCUCGGUGAUGUCCAGCACAGAAGGGGCAAGGAAGAUCACCUGAUCCACGGCCUGCAGAAGAUGCAUGCUGCAUUCACCACUGGCAGUGCAGGGGAGCUGCCUGCUGGUGGCCCUCCUGAAGAGAUGACACAAACUGGCUUCCCUUGAUGAAGAAGUGCAUUGGCGUAUUGUAUCUGCAGAUGCCCUGUAUGGCUGAGGAAAAUGGGGAAGCCGCUGGAGGGAAUCAGCUCUGAAAACUAAUAAGUUCAUCAUUCAGAGUGUGACAGCUUCAGCAGGAUGCAGACAGUCCCUUCAAACUAGAACAUCCACAAAUGAAUGUUUAGGGCACUUUCCUGGGUAAAAAAAUUCUCUUCAAGCAAAGAGAAAUGAUGACAAGAUGCCUUACAUCACAAUAUAUACCCAUUAUCAUAUCCUGGAACAACCAUGGAACUAAAAGCAAAGUUCAUUCACAAUACAGCUGAAGCAUCAAAAGGAGGGCUGUGAAGAUGGUGAAUGGUCUGGAGGACAAGACAUAUGAGGAGCAGCUGAGGUCCUUUGGUUUGCUCAGCUCAGAGAAGAAGAGACUGAGGGAAUGCUUCAUGGAGGCCUACAGCUUCCUAAUGAGAGACCGCGGCAGGAUCUGAGGGAACCUUCUUCAGGACUGCUGAACCCCAACCUUUGUACCUGAUAGCCAGGAACACCACACUCAAUUGCUAGCAGCAUCUGUGUGCUCUGCCCUGAGCAUUGAGUAGGACCGAGACAUUGUCUGUGGGAUAGUCAUGGUUUCUUGUGUUUGUUUUUUUAUUAAAGAUUAGUGUAAGCCCUGCUAGUGGUGCCAGGAAGGCAGCCUCUUGCAGGACGGGGAAGUGUCCUAUGUACUGUUGUCCUCCUCAUUUUGGGAUGCCUGGGCCUCUAGGCAAGCAGUCAGGAAUGGAGGGGUUGUGGCUGCAGCCCUGGUUAGAAGGACCUACCACAGCUCCUCAUGGGGCUCAUCCAUUUCCCUCACGAUGGGUAUGGUGGGAUGAUCCCUGAGAUCCCUAGGAAGAGUGGUACUGGAAGAGGUGGGGGACUCUUGCUCACUGAGACCUGCAAGGCUGAUGGUCCAAGGCUUGGAUUGACAGUGCCCCGCAGGGAGGCUGUCUGACUGCUCUCAGCAGUGGACUCUAAUGGAAGCAUGAUGACACAUGCCGGACAGUCAUCUGCCCUCACUGAAAAUUUGGUAGAAUUCCUAAGCCUCCUACAGAGAGGGAAGCUGCAUUUCUUCCUGGUCCACUGGAGGAUGCUACUGAGGUAGAAUGUGUGGUUACUGGAAGCCACGUAGGCUGCAUCAGUUCUCAUGUCAUGGCAGAUGGAACAUGAUCAUACCUCCUCCAUAACCAUGUUCUUCACACUGCAGUGGGCUGGGAGGAGCUGAAGGUGAAGAGCUCGUCCCCUCACUGGUGCCACUGCAACAGGUGUUGCGUACUGCAAGAAGGACAGGCUGCAGUCAUUCAUUGAACCAGGCAGGGCUGGGGAAAUGUAGGCAACAAUGUGGGGAUUGGCACUGAGUGCAGCUGCUAGCUGCCUCGCAGCACAACCCACGCAAAGCCUCAGUUAAAUCCUCCAAGCCUUGCAAACAUGCUCAGCCAGAAUCCAGGAACAAGCCAGGCUGGGGCAGACUGUACUGUCACCCCAGUGUAUGCAGUAGAAGGUCGUGAGGUCACAGUCCAUUGCCUGGAGAUGUCACACACCGUGACUUUGCGACUUGUUGCUCAGUGCUAUCACCGUUGGGAAGCCUGUCCCCUGUCUAGUCCCACAGCACUCUGUCUCGUACCAGUACUGCUUCUGCACACCCACUGGAGCUACUGUGGUGUUGAUGACGGUUUUUCUCAGCAGAAACCCAGGCCCGGGCCUCAUUUUCCUAAAGCCCCAGCAGGUGCCCUGGUAUCUGCCUUUUUCCUGUCCACCGUCCUACUGAAAUAAACAACUUAUCCUUAUUUACGUUUUUCCCCACCCAUCCCAAUUUGGCUACAGCUGUUCCCUGAUUUGGUAUUUUGGACACCUUUCAGACAUCAGGCUUACAACUUCUUCAUGAGGGGAGCAAAGGGGCAGGUGCUGAUCUCACUGGUGACAGUAACAGGACCCGAGGGAACAGCAUGGAGCUGCAGUAGGGGAGGGUCAGGUUGCGUGUUAAUAAAAGGUUUCUCACCAGAGGGUGGUCAGACCUUGGAACAGGAACAGGCUCCCCAGGGCAGUGUUCAGCAGCCCCAAGCUGCCAGAGUUCAAGGAGCGUUUGGACAACACUCUCAGGCAUAGGGUUUGAAUUUUGGGUCCUCCUGUGUGGGGCCAGGAUUUGGACUCAGUGAUCCUCGUGGGUCCCUUCCAACUUGGAAUAUUCUAUGAUCUUACAGUCAUUCUCUAAAAUGUGUACAAUCAUCUCAUUGGGAUGUAUGCCAGAUUAGCAAUAUCAGAAAACUUUAGUAUAUAAGCCUUAUGAAGUCCUGUUGGCAUUGAUGGCUAAGGCACUUAAUUUAAUUAGAUGAGCUUGCCAUUGCUGAAACUGCUGAUUGUAGUAUUUUCAAGAGAGCCAAGGAAAAACCUAAUUCAUUAGACCUCUGAAACUGUUCAGCUGUGUGACCAUGUUCUCUCACAGCAACUGCUGUAUUUCAAAUAUAAAUACAGAAAGCCCAAAAAAGGUAGUAUUCCACUCUUUGAAUUUGUACGUAUUUCUGUAGCAAUGAACAUUUUCAUUCUCAUACAGUGAUAAAAAUUCUCAAAGUGAUAAAAUUACAAUGAUACAAUGAUGUAUUGUCUUCCUGGCUGCCCCAGCAUAGCAGGUGAUCAUGUAUACCUGAUACCAAUAAACCAAUAGCAAAACAGGCAGUUGUUACAGUAUGUUCCUGUUGUCAUCCAUAAUGACAAAUGACAGCACACUUUGCAGUAUGAUAACUUGUCUCUGUUAAUAUGGAGACUUACACAUUUCUAAGGAAAAGAAAAUGAAAAACAUAUUGCCAUCAUUAAUAAUUGUAGUGUGAGAAUGGAAAAAAUAGAUUUGAGCCUUUAGGAAAAGUUAUCAGUCCCCUGGCAUGUGCAUUUUUUUUCAUUUGUUUUGUAAGAGAAAGCAGAUGUAAAAGAUAAUUAUGGCAUAGACAAUGAGGAAUUAAACUCUGAAAAUUUCUGGAGUUGAAUAUUGUUUUAUUAAACUACUGGGUUAAGAUACAGCAUUUCUUCACAAUACAGUAUUUGUGAAACAACGUGAAAUGAGAGUAUGUAGCUAGACUGAAAAAACUGUGACUUCUUGUAUCAAACCCAGUAACCAGCCCAGUUAUAACUGCUUAGGUUAUGGUCAUACCUGCAGCAGCAUUAUGGUAGUAUACCAUAGCAGAGGCUGAACUGUGUGAACUGUUCCUGUAGUUUUUUCAGUUUAUCUCAUGUUCUAGUUGGUUAUUACUGCAUUACGUCUUUAGAAAACAGAAGGCCAGAAGAUCAAUACCUUUUAUUAAGGGAAUGCAGGAAGUAUGUACCUAGACUGCAGUAAAGUCCCACUUGGAGGCCAGCCUCCUCCUUCUUUAAAGCUGGUAAAAUUCCCAUUCCUGCCCUUUUGCUCUAUUCUAUUCUAUUCUAUUCUAUUCUAUUCUAUUCUAUUCUAUUCUAUUCUAUUCUAUUCUAUUCUAUUCUAUUCUAUUCUAUUCUCUCUAAUCUUGGUUUUUAUUCACCUCCUUUGCACAAAUGUUCCUUAUCCUGCCAGACACUAGUUAUCUCAGGAAUUAGAUGCCUCCUAGAAGAUGCCACAGAACUUCAGACUACCACACAGCACCAGAUAGUAAAGGUAAUUUGAUUAUUAACUGUGAGAAUUAAUUCACUGCUUGUUUUCCAAAGUCUUCAUAUAUGGCUCUUGUUUACAAAGUUGUGAUUAUGCAAGUAUUACAAGGUUUGUACUGCUCAUAAGCUUGAUUCUAACUUCUUGCUCACCCUAUGUGCAUGGUAUGGUAUAUGUAUGUUGUAUAAAGCAUGCUGUACUCUUAUUUCCUGUCUAGCUAAAAAGUUUAGAAAAGAGUACAGAAAAAUCUAAAAUAAUUUGCUUUGGCUAGAUCAUUAUUCAGGACUUGGAGAUCUUUUUCAGAUCAGAAGGAACCAUGAUGUUUACUUAGUGUAACUUAUAUGGAGUAUAGGAGUGACUUUGGGUGAUAAAAGUGAGAUCCUGUAAAUGUCUUUACAUGCUUUUAAAGAGUCCUAUCAGUUAGAGCCUCAUAAAUGCACCACUGCAUUAUUUGUAAAAGGGUGUAAGGCUGAUAUCCCCCAAAGAGAUUUAGUGAUCUCAGAAAGUUCCUGUCACGUAAGUGACACCACUUACUGCUUAGCUGUUUAGAAGCAGGGCCCUACCUGGAAAGGCAAUUGUUUUCUUAUAGUUACUGAAAUUAAAGGCCUCCCAUAAGAUGCCACAAAAAGCUGUGAAUUCUCUCAUGACACUGCUAGUAAACAAUUCUAUGGAAACCAUUACAUGGUAAGAUACAGGCUAUUUCUUCCCUUUUUUUUUUUUUUUAACAUUUUCAUUAUAUCUGUUAUGUUGCCUUGAAAACUGAAAAAAGUUCCGAUAGCUUUACUUUUCAAAGCACUGAAAACAAAAAGUCUGUAUAUGUACAUGCAUAUCAAAAUUUAAAAUUCUGAAGUCAUUCUGAACAACAUACAGAAAGACUUCCAAAUACGGUGAAGCAAUGAAACCCCUGAUGCUACAAUAAUACAGAAAUGCUAAACUUCUCAUUCAGUGUUUUGUAGUUAAAUAUCUUCUUUGAAAUAAACAUUUGUGAUUACCUUUCAGUUCCUGAUUUAAAAUAUGAUAGUUGAGUUUCACUAUGGUUUUUGAGGUACACUGAAAUGUUCUGCAGCAAUUAUGAGGGCCCAGAGUUGAACAAACCUUCAGAAUUUUAAUAAGUUUCCUGUGGUAAUUAUUUUUAAUUGCCUUCAAUCUCAUUAGAGUACCAGGUGGCAGCUAUGUAACUUCACCGUGGAUGCCGGUUGUCUAUAUGGCCAAGUAUUUCUCUGUAGACACUAAUGAACAGGCUGUCCAAAGCCUCAGUAGUGGUUUACUAACAGCAACUUGUUAGUUCCUUCGAACAAGAGGAGUCUGAUUCUGACCUCACUCACACUAACUGUAAAUAUAUCACUGUGUCAUACCACUUCCAGCGUAUGUUUUUAAACAAAAAUAUAUGAACUUACAUGUGAAUAUGUUAAGUUCUGUCUUCUACUAUAAACUGUUUAAAGUCUUCUCCAUUUAUGUACCACUUCAGAAACAAUAGGAAUUGUGUCAGCUCCGAAAUCUGUAUUAUAUUAAUAAUAAAUGCUUAUCUGUUGGUUAUCAACUCACAA